AUGCAUGUGUGGGCUCCAAACACACCGUGGGGGGCCAGGGCACAAGGUGGGGGCCCAUCCUGUGGGAUGAUAGCACCUGUUUGUUUUGGGGGAGGCUGUGGUUUUGGUGCUGCUGAGGUCACUGCCCUAUUCAGCCGCAUUGCUGCGGGACUCGGACCCUGGUCCCUGGGGCAGGAGGUGCCAGUUCUCAGCACUGUGUGGGUUAUAGCCCUGGGGAUGUGGGGCCUUUGCUCCCUGCUCCAGGACCUGCCCCGCCAGAGGUGGGUUCGAACCCGCUGUCCUCUCCCUCCAGUACCUGCUGAUCUGCUACAAGAGCUGCUGGGACUUUGCCUUCCAGUUCACCGAGGAGCUCAGCUCGGUGCUGCUGCUGAGGCUGGAAAACAGCGGCGAGGGGAGCGAGGAGGAGGAGGAGGUGGACAGGGCCUCUGCUGCUGCGCUGGAGCCCAGGGAGGCAGGGCAGUGGUGGAGCUGCAGCGGCUGCGUGAGGCCAGCGAGGCCGCGCUGGGCAGGCUGGAGGCGCUGGAGGCCGACGUCCGCUUCCUCUGCACCGAGCUGGGUGCCGAGAAACUGCUGUGGAGCAGCCGGUUCCUGGAGCUGCUGCGGGAGCAGCAAGGCCUACGGCAGCGGCUGCAAGAGCGCCCACUGCAAUGGGACAGCCCCGAGCUGCCCGGAGACGUGGAGGAGCCAAACGCCAGCGGGAGCGAGGGAGAGGGCCCAGCAGGUAUGAGUGGGGACUCCGGGUCAUGGAGACAGUGCUUGGGGCAGAACAAGGCCCCCACAAUGUGGCUGCCACCCCAAGGCAUCCUCAGUGCCUGUUUGCUGCUCCUGGCCCCUGCGCUGGUGGCUGGGCACCGCUGGGAGCCUGGCUCGGUGCUCCCACAGCGCCAGCUCACCCUUGUGCUCUGUUAA
rnacentral:lncRNA from 1 species